GUUUAUAUUAGUGUUUCAUGACCUGUCAUAGGAAACCGUUGUAUAAUGAUGGAGUACUAGACAUCUUCACUUAUUCGUACCUGCAUUUUUACUCUUUAGGGGAGAAUUAAGGGUGAUUUACCCUGAUUUGGUUGUUGACAAAUGCAUGAUAGUCCCUCAGAGGAUCAGAGAGAAGAUCAGUAAGGAGUGGGGGGCACCUCAAUUACAUCUGCCAAGUGCUGAUGAGAAGAAGAAAUGCACUCUAUUAAUGGUGGAUCAGUCGUCAGAAACCCUCUCGCUCUUACUGGAGACACUGGUUACUGGCUGACAUUAAGGGGGAAGCUCUAGAGAGAGGAGAUGUCAGCGGUGUUGAACUAUCCACAUACACCCGUCCCACUCCACCCCAAGGCACUGGACUCCACCGCUACCAGUUCCUUGUAUUUGAGCAGCCUGAAGGCCAGAGCUUGUCCCUCAGCCCAAAGGAGAAGAGCUCACUGGGUAAUCACACACACAACCCACAUGGGGUCAUUAUGGGGUCAUUUGCUCACCCUCAAGUCAUUCCAACCCUUCCUUUUUAUAGUAAUGUACAAAAAUUAUGGCUGAAUUUUAUGGUGCUUUUUUUGAUGAUUUCAUAUUAUGGAAAGUAGCAGCAUGAACAUUGUGCUACAUUUCUGCUUUUAUGUUCAGAAAAAAAAAAUCACGUGUUUAGAUUUUUGGGUGAACUAUCCCUUCAAUACAUCAAACAUGACUUGAAAUACACGUCUAUAACACACACACACACACACACACAUAAAUACAAACACUUGCAUACUGUGACCACCUAUUUUAGAUUUUCCUGAAAAUAUCGGUCUUGCCAUUCAGCAUAACUUAUAAUUAACAUCUCAACAUGAAAUGACAAAUACCACAGCGCAAGACAUUGACGUUUGCCUCUAAUUUAUAUUUUAUGUAAUUGCUCUGUAAUUUAACAUUUAUAUUUGAAUGAUUGAUCGCAUAAAAGAGGUGAAUUGAAAAGUGGCAAUAAUACUUAAGACUAAAUACACACAGCAAUAUAUUCUUACCUGUUACAUUUCAGCACAUCACAGUAUUAUUAUUAUAUGCAUCAUACUGCUUUUCACAAAAAAAAAAAUGCAAUUCGCACACUUACAGAGACUGCAACCUGCUUUCAUGACUGGCAUAAUCAAAUGAUUCUUCUCUUGUUGUAUGGUACAUGAUGAGCAUGUCCUGAUCAUCUCGCUACAAAAACAGCAAAAUUACAUUAAGUCACAUUUGUCAAAUGACACCAUUUGUCACAUUCAGUACUUGUACCAGCCACUACUUGAACUAGUUUUCUUUAUUACUAAUUAUGGUUUUCCACUGGUCUCUUUACCUAUUGAAAGGUUCUGUAGGUUUCAGCUGCCUAUGUGGCUUCCUGUACAGAUGGCCUUAUGAAUUAUAGGAAGUGUUUGAUCUUUGAGAGCCAAGACAGUUUCCAAAGCUUAUCGGACUUAAGUGAGUCAAUUUAAUCAGGGAAAUAUAAAUGCAUUUGGUGUGUCUGCUUUAGGAACUGUGUUUCCGUGUGUAUCCAGCAUCAUACACCUGCC
ensembl:lncRNA